rnacentral:rRNA from 1 species
AAUCAACGCUGGCGGCGUGCCUAACACAUGCAAGUCGAACGAGAAAGGGUAGCAAUACCUGAGUAAAGUGGCGCACGGGUGAGUAACACGUGACUAACCUACCCUGGAGUGGGGGAUAACUGAGGGAAACCUUAGCUAAUACCGCAUAACACCUACGGGUCAAAGGAGCAAUUCGCUUUGGGAGGGGGUCGCGGCCGAUUAGUUAGUUGGCGGGGUAAUGGCCCACCAAGACGAUGAUCGGUAUCCGGCCUGAGAGGGCGCACGGACACACUGGAACUGAAACACGGUCCAGACUCCUACGGGAGGCAGCAGUGGGGAAUUUUGCGCAAUGGGGGAAACCCUGACGCAGCAACGCCGCGUGGAGGAUGAAGUACUUCGGUACGUAAACUCCUUUCGAUCGGGAAGAUAAUGACGGUACCGAUAUAAGAAGCCCCGGCUAACUUCGUGCCAGCAGCCGCGGUAAUACGAGGGGGGCAAGCGUUGUUCGGAAUUAUUGGGCGUAAAAGGGUGCGUAGGCGGUUUGACAAGUCUUGUGUGAAAUCUUCGGGCUCAACCCGAAGUCUGCAUAGGAAACUGUCGGGCUUGAGUAUGGGAGAGGUGAGUGGAAUUUCCGGUGUAGCGGUGAAAUGCGUAGAUAUCGGAAGGAACACCUGUGGCGAAAGCGGCUCACUGGACCAUAACUGACGCUGAUGCACGAAAGCUAGGGGAGCAAACAGGAUUAGAUACCCUGGUAGUCCUAGCCCUAAACGAUGAUUGCUUGAUGUGGCAGGUACCCAAUCCUGCCGUGUCGAAGCUAACGCGAUAAGCAAUCCGCCUGGGGAGUACGGUAGA